ACGGCUCAGUAACACGUGGCUAACCUGCCCUUGGGACGGGAUCACCCCCGGGAAACUGGGGCUAAUCCCCGAUAGGUGAAGAACUCUGGAAUGAGUCUUUGCUCAAAGGGCGCCAGAUCAUGCUUUUGGUGUCGCCCAAGGAUGGGGCCGCGACCGAUCAGGUUGUUGGUGAGGUAAUGGCCCACCAAGCCUAUAACCGGUGCGGGCCGUGAGAGCGGGAGCCCGGAGAUGGGCACUGAGACAAGGGCCCAGGUCCUACGGGGCGCAGCAGUCGCGAAAACUUUGCAAUACACGAAAGUGUGACAGGGUUAUCCCGAGUGCCGACCGCUGAGGUUGGCUUUUACCCAGUCUAGAAAGCUGGGGGAAUAAGGAGAGGGCAAGUCUGGUGUCAGCCGCCGCGGUAAUACCAGCUCUCCGAGUGGUGUGGACGUUUAUUGGGCCUAAAGCAUCCGUAGCUGGCUGAACAAGUCCCCUGUUAAACCCACCGAUUUAAUCGUUGGCGUGCGGGGGAUACUGCUCGGCUAGGGGACGAGAGAGGCAGACGGUAUUCCCGGGGUAGGGGUGAAAUCCUAUAAUCCCGAGAAGACCACCAGUGGCGAAGGCUGUCUGCUAGAACGCGCCCGACGGUGAGGGAUGAAAGCUGGGGGAGCGAACCGGAUUAGAUACCCGGGUAGUCCCAGCUGUAAACGAUGCAGACUAGGUGUUUGGACGGCCACGUGCCGUUCUAGUGCCGCAGGGAAGCUGUUAAGUCUGCCGCCUGGGGAGUACGAUCGCAAGAUUGAAACUUAAAGGAAUUGGCGGGGGAGCAC
rnacentral:rRNA from 1 species